rnacentral:rRNA from 1 species
UGGGGAAUAUUGCACAAUGGGCGCAAGCCUGAUGCAGCCAUGCCGCGUGUAUGAAGAAGGCCUUCGGGUUGUAAAGUACUUUCAGCGGGGAGGAAGGGAGUAAAGUUAAUACCUUUGCUCAUUGACGUUACCCGCAGAAGAAGCACCGGCUAACUCCGUGCCAGCAGCCGCGGUAAUACGGAGGGUGCAAGCGUUAAUCGGAAUUACUGGGCGUAAAGCGCACGCAGGCGGUUUGUUAAGUCAGAUGUGAAAUCUCCGGGCUCAACCUGGGAACUGCAUCUGAUACUGGCAAGCUUGAGUCUCGUAGAGGGGGGUAGAAUUCCAGGUGUAGCGGUGAAAUGCGUAGAGAUCUGGAGGAAUACCGGUGGCGAAGGCGGCCCCCUGGACGAAGACUGACGCUCAGGUGCGAAAGCGUGGGGAGCAAACAGG